GAUGAACGCUGGCGGCGUGCUUAACACAUGCAAGUCGAACGGUGAACACGGAGCUUGCUCUGUGGGAUCAGUGGCGAACGGGUGAGUAACACGUGAGCAACCUGCCCCUGACUCUGGGAUAAGCGCUGGAAACGGCGUCUAAUACUGGAUAUGUGACGUGACCGCAUGGUCUGCGUUUGGAAAGAUUUUUCGGUUGGGGAUGGGCUCGCGGCCUAUCAGCUUGUUGGUGAGGUAAUGGCUCACCAAGGCGUCGACGGGUAGCCGGCCUGAGAGGGUGACCGGCCACACUGGGACUGAGACACGGCCCAGACUCCUACGAGAGGCAGCAGUGGGGAAUAUUGCACAAUGGGCGCAAGCCUGAUGCAGCAACGCCGCGUGAGGGAUGACGGCCUUCGGGUUGUAAACCUCUUUUAGCAGGGAAGAAGCGAAAGUGACGGUACCUGCAGAAAAAGCGCCGGCUAACUACGUG
rnacentral:rRNA from 1 species